rnacentral:rRNA from 1 species
UACGGAGGGUGCGAGCGUUGUCCGGAAUCACUGGGCGUAAAGGGCGCGUAGGCGGUGGGGUCAGCGUGUGGUGAAAGUCCGGGGCUCAACCCCGGAUCGGCCGUGCGAACUGCCCCACUUGAGCACUGUAGAGGCAGGUGGAAUUCCGGGUGUAGCGGUGGAAUGCGUAGAGAUCCGGAAGAACACCAGAGGCGAAGGCGGCCUGCUGGGCAGUGGCUGACGCUGAGGCGCGACAGCGUGGGGAGCAAACAGG